rnacentral:rRNA from 2 species
UCUGGUGUCAAUGGCUUAGUGGAACCACACCGAUCCAUCCCGAACUCGGAGGUGAAACGCUAACACGGCAAAGAUACUUGGUGGGUAGCUGCCUGGGAAAAUAGCACGAUGCCAGGA